rnacentral:rRNA from 1 species
AUUGAACGCUGGCGGCAGGCCUAACACAUGCAAGUCGAGCGAGCGGCGGACGGGUGAGUAAUGUAUGGGGAUCUGCCCGAUAGAGGGGGAUAACUACUGGAAACGGUGGCUAAUACCGCAUACUAUCGGAUGAACCCAUAUGGGAUUAGCUAGUGGGGGGGGUAAAGUCUCACCUAGGCGACGAUCUCUAGCUGGUUUGAGAGGAUGAUCAGCCACACUGGGACUGAGACACGGUCCAGACGCCUACGGGAGGCAGCAGGGGGGAAUAUUGCACAAUGGGCGAAAUCCUGAUGCAGCCAUGCCGCGUGUGUGAAGAAGGCCUUCGGGUUGUAAAGCACUUUCAGCGAGGAGGCGUUACUCGCAGAAGAAGCACCGGCUAACUCCGUGCCAGCAGCCGCGGUAAUUC